GACAGAGGGUGCAAACGUUGUUCGGAAUCACUGGGCGUAAAGCGCGUGUAGGCGGCCAUGCAAGUCGGAUGUGAAAGCCCACGGCUCAACCGUGGAAGUGCACCCGAAACUGCGUGGCUAGAGUCCCGGAGAGGAAGGUGGAAUGCUUGGUGUAGAGGUGAAAUUCGUAGAUAUCAAGCGGAACACCGGUGGCGAAGGCGGCCUUCUGGACGGGUACUGACGCUGAGACGCGAAAGCGUGGGUAGCAAACAGG
rnacentral:rRNA from 1 species